GAUGAACGCUGGCGGCGUGCCUAAUACAUGCAAGUCGAGCGAACAGACGAGGAGCUUGCUCCUCUGACGUUAGCGGCGGACGGGUGAGUAACACGUGGAUAACCUACCUAUAAGACUGGGAUAACUUCGGGAAACCGGAGCUAAUACCGGAUAAUAUAUUGAACCGCAUGGUUCAAUAGUGAAAGACGGUUUUGCUGUCUCUUAUAGAUGGAUCCGCGCCGCAUUAGCUAGUUGGUAAGGUAACGGCUUACCAAGGCGACGAUGCGUAGCCGACGGGAGGGAGUGAUCGGCCACAUUGGAAGUGAGACACGGUCCAGACUACUACGGGAGGGAGCAGUAGGGAAUCUUCCGCAGUGGUCGAAAGCCUGACGGAGCAGCGCCGCGUGAGAGAUGAAGGUCUUCGGAUCGUAAAACUCUGUUAUGAGGUAAGAACAAAUGUGUAAGUAACUAUGCACGUCUUGACGGUACCGAAUCAGAAAGCCACGGCUAACUACGUG
rnacentral:rRNA from 1 species